rnacentral:tRNA from 1 species
GUUUCUAGGGUGUCCUCUUAGCACAUUAGAUUUUCAUUCUAAAGGGAUAAAUAAAUUUAUUAGAAAUA